AACAGGUUUGAGGGGGCAGAGGUAGGGGACAACAAGUUACCCCAGCCUUUCCCCACCCCCCUCUUCCCCCCACUGCCAUUAAUCAUGCCAGUGCACACUAAACUAAGAAGACACUUAAGGUCCGAAAAGGGGGCGGGGCUAGACGGCACUGUACUACACAGUGCCAUGUUGCCAGCAGCAUGUGAGAAUGGAGGGAAUGUGAUCAGCAGCAUGGCCAAAACAAAAAUGUCACUUUAUGUUAAAAAUGACUGAUACUCCGAGUAAUGAUGAGGACAUAUCCAAUAAAUCUACUGAAUAUGACCCAUCUUACAGGAUGAGGAGUCUGAAUUGGAUAAAAAGAAAGCAACACCAAAAAGGGCUCCACGUUUCACAUAUAUCGAAAACGAGGCACUUAUUGAUGGUGUCCUGACAAAUUAUAAAAUUCUUUUUGGGAAACUCGGUGGCCAGCAAUAUUGUUUUGAAAGGAAAGAAAAAAUUUGGAAAAAAAUUUCCCAAUUAGUUUCCUCUGUUGGAAAGGUUCCUCGUUCUGCAUAUGUUUGCAAGAAACGUUAUUCAGAUUGCAAAAUUGUGGUGAAAAAAAAAAUGUCAAUGAUGCAUCUUCAUGCCAAAAAAACUGGAGGAGGUUCUUGUUUAAAAAUCGACAUGUGCCCAUGGGAGCAAAGGUUAUCUGAAAAGUUGUCUUUAAAUGCUGUAAGGGGGAUUGAAGAAUCUAAUGACACGGAAGCGCCAGUAUCUCCACCAAAAGCAUUCGGUAAUUGUUUUUACAUAAAGAUAGAUAGAUAGAUAGAUAGAUAGAUAGAUAGAUAGAUAGAUAGAUAGAUAGAAUAGUUUGUUCAAGGAAAAAAUAGGCCGGCACUCCAACAAACCAUGUAAAAUAUAAUGCCCAGGUGCCAGUAAUUAAAUUUCAACGUAGAGCGUAAAAAGAUACGCCCAUUGGCAUAUCUAUAAUAGGUGCAGUGUGUGGGAUGCACAUGGGCCCCAGGGUUCAGGGGGGCCCACCGCACACACAAUGCAACCAUUUUUUUAAUACUUAACUUUAUGGAGUCCCUCGUCGGAUACAUCCCUUCUCGCCAGUGCAUGCGCAGCAAUACCUGCAUUCAUUGCCUCACAUGCUGAGAGCCGCCCAGCACAGGACAAGGCCACCCAGCAUGUGUGGCGCUGCCUCAUGAUGCGUACGCUGUGCAGUCAGGCGGUCCGCCGCCAUUUUUUUAAUCAUACCGGCUAUGUGUGAUGUCACGCAGCUGCCUGUCGAAGUUGAAAAAUAUCUCAGUACACACAUCACGUACAAACUACACACAGAUGGCCUCCGUGCGUGUACUUGUUCUGCGGUGCGUGCGCAUGUUCGCUCCCGCGAUCCCGCGCAUUAGCGCGUGGUAUGGGUAUUUACGGUAGAGUUUGUGAACGCAUGGAAAAGCCAUCAAAACACAUUACAUAUUUAAUCCAAAUAGUGCACAAUGUACACAUAGUCUCCAUGCACCACAUCAGCAAGUUACAACAGUUUAAAUGGUAUCAGAACAAAGGGAUUAACCUUUACAGGAUAGGAGGGUACAGAACAAGAUUAUAAGGUCGUGUUUGGUAUCCAGCUGUAGGGUAUUUUAAGGGCAAUAUUCCGGUGUUGGUUUGCAGAAGAUCGCACUUUCCUGCGAAUAGUUAUGCACAGGAGCAGAAUAUAAAUAUAAACUGUAUUUACUGUACAUUUAGUAUGCGGCGGGAACCCAGAGGAGACCACCCACAAGUGCAUCUGGAACAGACAUCGCCCACCUAUUCAAACCAACCAAUGACCUCUCCUGUACUAUAAAUGACCAUCCCUGUGUCCAAUGGACAAAGAGAUUACAGUAUCCAUUGUGUUAAGUUUUGGAAGAUUGUAUAAAUGAGCCAGCUGCAUGCCUGGUCACACACAGACUCUAAAGGUCAUCUACCCAGAUGACUGAGGACCAGACUGGGAAGCGCAGCGAAAACCAAACAAGUAUGUACCAUAGCCAUUAUUCUAUUGUAUUGUUUAUAUUGUUAACCCUUGCAAGUAAAGAACCGUUGGUGGGUUAGACCCCAACCUAGUUUUGAAUUACAA